AUUGAACGCUGGCGGCAGGCCUAACACAUGCAAGUCGAGCGGAUGAAGGGAGCUUGCUCCUGGAUUCAGCGGCGGGCGGGUGAGUAAUGCCUAGGAAUCUGCCUGGUAGUGGGGGAUAACGUCCGGAAACGGGCACUAAUACCGCAUACGUCCUGAGGGAGAAAGUGGGGGAUCUUCGGACCUCACGCUAUCAGAUGAGCCUAGGUCGGAUUAGCUAGUUGGUGGGGUAAAGGCCUACCAAGGCGACGAUCCGUAACUGGUCUGAGAGGAUGAUCAGUCACACUGGAACUGAGACACGGUCCGGACUCCUACGGGAGGCAGCAGUGGGGAAUAUUGGACAAUGGGCGAAAGCCUGAUCCAGCCAUGCCGCGUGUGUGAAGAAGGUCUUCGGAUUGUAAAGCACUUUAAGUUGGGAGGAGGGGCAGUAAGUUAAUACCUUGCUGUUUUGACGUUACCAACAGAAUAAGCACCGGCUAACUUCGUG
rnacentral:rRNA from 1 species